UACGGAGGGUCCAAGCGUUAUCCGGAAUCAUUGGGUUUAAAGGGUCCGUAGGCGGUUUUGUAAGUCAGUGGUGAAAGCCUAUCGCUCAACGGUGGAACGGCCAUUGAUACUGCAAGACUUGAAUUAUUAGGAAGUAACUAGAAUAUGUAGUGUAGCGGUGAAAUGCUUAGAGAUUACAUGGAAUACCAAUUGCGAAGGCAGGUUACUACUAAUGGAUUGACGCUGAUGGACGAAAGCGUGGGUAGCGAACAGG
rnacentral:rRNA from 1 species